rnacentral:rRNA from 1 species
UACGUAGGGGGCCAGCGUUGUCCGGAAUUACUGGGCGUAAAGCGCGCGCAGGCGGCUUGGUCAGCGGCGGGUGCAAUUUCAGGGCUCAACUCUGAAACUGCUCGCCGUACUGCCAGGCUUGAGUACGGGAGAGGGCAGUGGAAUUCCCGGUGUAGCGGUGGAAUGCGUAAAUAUCGGGAGGAACUCCAGUGGCGAAGGCUGCUGCCUGGAACGUUACUGACGCUGAGGCGCGAAAGCUAGGGGAGCAAACGGGAUUAGAUACCCCCGUA